CACCUUGCCAAAUAUAAUACAUUAAUACUCAAUGUCAAAAAACAAUAUGAUUUUUUCAAUUUAUUUGUUGGGAUUAUUAAUAAUUUAAUAUUCUUAUGUAAAUGGGUCUAUCUUGGUGACAGUGAUGUAAAUUAUACAUUGGUAUUAUUAUUUUAGGUUAAUAACACUAGGAAAACUAAAUCCAACAUCAUUGACAUUGUUUAGAGUAUAAUAUGAUCCAUAAAUGAGGUGGAGAAAUAUCUUAGUAACAAGCUAACUAAAAGAAGUCCAGACCAGGGUCUCUAAUGGCUGCUACUAGCUUAUGAAACAUGGAUAUUUGGCAAGAAAGCAGAUGAAGAAAAAACAAGCAAGGUGACUACCACAACUUAAAUCUGAAAAGCAUCAUGAGGACAGUAUACAGGUUACAAGGAUUAAAGAGAAUAAACAACCAUAGAGAAAAAAUAUACUUAUAGAUGUGGGAGAGAGAAAUUACGUGAUAAAUUUCAUUGUAAUAUGAAUCAAUGAAUGGGAUACAUCAGGGUUUCCUAUGCGACGUUUAUGCGUCGCAUAAACGUCCAUGCGCAAUUCCAGACCCUCGCAUAGGUGUUCUAUGCGUUUCGGGUCUGGGUCGGGUCUACGGGUCAGAGCGGGUAAAACCCAAUUACCCGUUACUUAUUUAAAAAAAAUUAAAAAAAAACCCAAAACCCUAAAUUAAAAAAAAACCCAAACCCAAAAUAAAAAAAACCAACGAUUCCCGUCGGCCAGCACUCCCCUUCUUCCCGUCCUUAGAAGAGGAUGUUGAGCAAGCUCCUUAGACCUUAGAGUCCUUGGGCUUAGACUAUUGUUAAUCACUUAAUCUUAAUUAUAUAGUUUUAGACUUUGUUAUGCAAUUUCUAUUUACUAUUUAGACUUUUAAACUUUAUUGGAUCAUUGGAACACUAUUUGCUAUAUUAUAUUAUUCAUAUAUUAUGGAAAUAUCAGGGGUAUUUAUAAAAAAUACAUGUAAAUAUAACAUGUCGCAUAUUUACGUAUAUGCGCGUAUAUGCACGCAUAUACUUAUAUGCUUAAAAUGCCAUCGCAUGAACGCAUAGACGCAUAGGAAACCUUGGGAUACAUUACAUAAUUAAUUCAAUCAAAGUAUAUCGGGCUAAUGAGGUCUUCAACCUUAAAAAGCUGUGGUAGUAGAUCGCAUCUUACCAAAGCAUUUUGAGAAAUAUGUUUAAUAGCCGUGGUAGUAGAUCACAUUUUAAAAAAAUGAUCAUGUUUCAUAAUGAAUCGAUUGCUAGAAAAAUUGUCAAAGAAAAGAGGAUUAAGAAGAAGAAAAACUUUAUUAAAAAAAGGAAGGGAAAUUCAGAAAUAAAGGGUUUGAUAAAGAUUUCAAUAAUUAUAGAAUAAUAUACUAUAGCUCCUGAUAUAGAGAAAGCAAUGACUAAACUAGGAAAUUGAUAAAGGUCAAUGAAAUAUAAUGAUCGACGAACUAAAAGAAAUAAAAUAAUGUUCAACUAAAAUCUAAAUAACAAUUGGAAAAUAAUUAAGGAGGCUUCAAACUAGGUAAUUGAUUCCGAACAUCUCCUGGUCAGGAUUGACUGGGUCCUUACCAUCAGUUUAAAUGUUUAAUAUACUACUGAACCUGGAUAUUCUGUAUAUCAGCAAGUAUAUAUAUAACAUAUCAGAUAAACUUCAUUGGUUAAUGAUCAAUGUUCUACUAUUUGAUCAAUAGUAAAUAUCAUAAACUGAUGACUGAACAAAGUAAUACAUUUUUAAAUUGGAAAAGAAAUUUAUUUCAAAAAUACAUAAUUGUUAGGAAAAAAAUCAAUCAAUGCAUUCUGCCAUUCUUAUCCAAAAAAAGAUAAAUUGUAGUGUUUAACAUUAAACAAUUUGCUGAUCCAUGUUCUAAUGCUACCAUUUUAUAAGCUACGGUACAGACAUGAACGGAUAACUAUAAAAAAAAUGAGACACCUCAAGGCUAUAAGACCCAAAUUCAAUAUGGUAAAUGGGUAAGAAAAGAAAAGUUACAUACCAC
rnacentral:lncRNA from 1 species